CCUACGGGCGGCAGCAGUCGAGAAUCAUUCACAAUGGGGGAAACCCUGAUGGUGCGACGCCGCGUGGGGGACGACGGCCCUCGGGUUGUAAACCGCUUUCAGUGGGGACGAUGGUGAUGGUACCCACAGAAGAAGCUCCGGCUAACUACGUGCCAGCAGCCGCGGUAAUACGUAGGGAGCGAGCGUUAUCCGGAUUCAUUGGGCGUAAAGCGCGCGUAGGCGGCUGCCUAAGCGGAACCUCUAAUCCCGGGGCUCAACCGCGGGCCGGGUUCCGAACUGGGCGGCUCGAGUGCGGUAGAGGCAGGCAGAAUUCCCGGUGUAGCGGUGGAAUGCGCAGAUAUCGGGAAGAACACCGAUGGCGAAGGCAGCCUGCUGGGCCGUCACUGACGCUGAGGCGCGAAAGCUGGGGGAGCGAACAGGAUUAGAUACCCCUGUAGUC
rnacentral:rRNA from 1 species